CUCUCUCUCUCUCUCUCUCUCUCUGAAUGAGCUAACACUACAAUCUACAAUGGCUGCUUUCUCUCUCUUCUCUAACCAUCAUCUUCUUCCUCCAUUCCCAAUUUCCUCUUCUAAAUCUAAACCCCAUGCAUAUCCUAAUCGCUUCCUCUUAUUACCCAACCGCUCCUCGUCUCUAUUUCGCAUCCUCUGCUCUUCUCCGAUCAACUCCUCCGAUUCUGUUCCCUCUGGUGAUAGCCUCUACAGCAAUUUUUGCA
rnacentral:misc_RNA from 1 species